AAGGAAUAUUGGUCAAUGGACGCAAGUCUGAACCAGCCAUGCCGCGUGAAGGAUGAAGGUCCUCUGGAUUGUAAACUUCUUUUAUCUGGGACGAAAACGGGAUUUUUAUCUCAAUUGACGGUACCAGAGGAAUAAGCACCGGCUAACUCCGUGCCAGCAGCCGCGGUAAUACGGAGGGUGCGAGCGUUAUCCGGAUUUACUGGGUUUAAAGGGUGCGUAGGUGGGCUUAUAAGUCAGUGGUGAAAUCUCCGAGCUUAACUUGGAAACUGCCGUUGAUACUAUAUGUCUUGAAUUAUCUGGAGGUAAGCGGAAUAUGUCAUGUAGCGGUGAAAUGCUUAGAUAUGACAUAGAACACCAAUUGCGAAGGCAGCUUACUACAUAUAAAUUGACGCUGAGGCACGAAAGCGUGGGGAUCAAAC
rnacentral:rRNA from 1 species